AUGAGGGUUUCCGGGGAUUGAACCCUGGCAUGUCGACGGAGAGAAGCGGAAGGUGAGCCUCGUCGUCGUGGUGGACGAGACCUCCGUCUUGGCGAAGCUGGUCAAGGCUAAUGGAGCCUUCUCCCAGAUGGCCUCCGCCUUUCUGGUGAUCAACCGGUGAACUGGUCGCCCCUACUAUAAGAUGUACUCCGAGAUCUUGGAGAAUAGGAAGACCAUCCCGGUCUGGGAGCAAAAGGGGGAGUUCUUGCAGGCGCUCCAGGCCAACCAGACGCUGAUCCUCGUCGGAGAGAGCGGCAGCGGGAAGACCACCCAGGUUAAGAUUCUUUUUCACUUGUUAGAUGGAAAGAUCUUUAGAGACAAAUGGCUGGACAACAUAACAAUUUUAAUCUUGUAAGUAUAUCAUUAUCUUUGUCCAAUGUUGCUUUUAAAUUAUCAUUUAGUAGUGAUAAAGACUUUAGUGCAUGAAGAUGCCCUUCAUCCCCUCAACUAUUUUACAUCUAUUUGGUUUUUAACAAGGACCUGCAUGUUGCAUAGCGGCAGUUUCUUAAGGGGUUUAGGCUUGCAAAUGCUGGACCAAUGACUCAUAUAUAUUAUGUAGAUGAUUCUCUUUUUUCCAAUUCUUUUAAGGUUAGAAAGAUUGUGAAUGUAAAGUCAUAUGGGGUAUGUUUCAACUAUUUGUGAUGAUUAAAGAUUUUUUUUACUUGUGGAGUCGAUAAUAUGCUACUUUUCUUACUAUUAAAAUGUAUGCAAAGUUAUCAUUUUUAUUUUGUUUUUUGAAUGCUUAAGGUCAGGCACCAUUUUCUUUUUUGCCAUUUAGAAUUCUUGAUUCCCUCACACAAUAUGAUGUACAUAACAUUUAUGGACCUUGGGUUCGGGGAAUGGUGAUUGUUUGCUAUAGCAUCGUUGGUCUAAAUUACCGAUGCAAGGAAUGAUGUGGUUGAACAGAUUCCCAAUCUGUUUUGGAGGCUGAUUACUUAGGCAAGUUCCCAAUGGUUGCUUGUACCCAACCUUGCAGAGUUGCUUUAAUCUGUCUCCUGUCGAGUUGCUCAGGAGAUGGAUGCAACAGUUGGUGAAGAAGUUCGUUACAACAUCCGUUUUGAAGAUUGCAGUAGCCAUAAAACUAUUCUGAAGUCCAUCAAUCUCAAGUUUGUUCAUCUUUUGUCCAAGCUGGUGUCAGGUACUCGACCCGGUAUGCUUUUUAAGAGAAGCAACGGCUGAUCCACUCAUUGAAAGCAAAAGAUCAAACACAGCUCAAAUUGUACCUAAUUGACUAAUGUAGCUAUCUUUUACGAUGUUUAAAUUUGGAAAGCUAAUGGGUUGAAAUUUGUAUGAUUUGCUAUUUUUUGAUUGGUUCCUUGAUAAUAUUUUGUUUAGGCAUGACAAUAAAGGGCAAAAUGAUUUCAAAGAGGGAGAGCAAGACCAACACAACAAGAUUUGUAGCUUGUAAUUGCUGUCAUGAUUGGCAUUCCAUCAAACAUGAAUUCUUGUUUAGUGGAGUCCACAGAUACUCGAAAUCUUCUUUCUUCUUUAUGAAGACAAGGUCGCUCUUACUCCUCUUUGGACAUCGCAGAUGUUUUUAGUGUGGAAGAAUGCUGAUGGCUCCUUGUUGCAAAUGUGGGUGCAAGUCAAGAUGGGCCUCAUAUAGCGGAUCCAUUGUGUCUUGUUUUCUCGUGCUGCACAUAUUGCAGCUUGCUGAUGGUGAACUGCCUAUAUGUCUAAACUUUAAGAAACCAUUCAUGAAUCUAUGAUUUAUGUGCUACGGUAAAACGUAAGGAGCCUUGGAACUUUUAA